rnacentral:snRNA from 1 species
GUGCUCACUUUGGCAGCACAUAUACUAAAAUUGAAAUGAAACAGAGAAGAUUAGUAUGGUCCUAGUGCAAGGCUGUCACAUAAAUUUGUGAAAUGUUCCAUAUUUUU